AGCACCAUUUGUGGCUUGGGAGUACAAUUAAUCUUUGCUCAGCUGCUUUCUGCUCAGCUCAUCAAAUCAGUCACCAGCUGUGGCGCUCGCUGCACUAAAGCUUUGCACUAACCACUGUCAACACUUGCAUCCUUUCUUGGAGCAGACACCAUAGUCUGCUAACUCCAUUUCCUCUGUGGAGGAACUUGAGAUGUUCUAUGGUAGGACUCACCUCACGUAUCGAGCAAAUUGCCUCCUGCAUCAUGCAACUGGAUGGCUGUACAAGAUUCUGCAAAACAAACUAACCUCAAGCUCAACCAGUGCUGCAGCCACUGCUUCAACUGCAAGUGCCCCUGCUUUGAGUUGGUCCACAGCCUGGAAAUUAUAGAUGAUCUUAGGAACAGAUGGGCCAGAACCAGUAGAGCAAGCAGAACAGAUGACAGACGGUGGUCCCUGGAACCAUGCUCCCAUAUGACACCCUGUAGUCUUAUCUGGUCUACCUAGUGAUAUGCAAUGGUUUGCAUUACAUAAAGUAUCAUACAUCUUUAAUUUUCAUUAUUUUUGGUACUGAUGUCCAUUUUGAUAAGCUCAUGUCAGUGCCAAUUGGAUUAUAAAAAAUGUGUGACAUAUCCAAGACCAGACAUAUCCACUGAUUAUGCAACAAUAGCAAA